rnacentral:rRNA from 1 species
GAUGAACGCUAGCGGCAGGCCUAAUACAUGCAAGUCGAGGGGUAGAAGAGGCUUGCUUCUUUGAGACCGGCGCACGGGUGCGUAACGCGUAUGCAACCUACCUUCAUCUGGGGGAUAGCCCGGAGAAAUCCGGAUUAAUACCGCAUAAAAUCACAGGAUGGCAUUAUCCAAUGAUCAAACAUUUAUGGGAUGGAGAUGGGCAUGCGUGUCAUUAGCUAGUUGGCGGGGUAACGGCCCACCAAGGCGACGAUGACUAGGGGAUCUGAGAGGAUGGCCCCCCACAUUGGUACUGAGACACGGACCAGACUCCUACGGGAAGCAGCAGUAAGGAAUAUUGGUCACUGGAGGCAACGCUGAACCAGCCAUGCCGCGUGCGGGAAGACUGCCCUAUGUGUUGUAAACUGCUUUUAUUCGGGAAUAGACCUUAUUACGUGUAAUAAGCUGAAUGUACCGAAGGAAUAAGGAUCGGCUAACUCCGUGCCAGCCGCCGCCGUAA